rfam:Oryza glumipatula chromosome 9, whole genome shotgun sequence.
UUUAAGGGCAACCAUGAGUUUCCAUGCUCAACUUUGGGCAUUCGUCUUAUUUGAAUUUUUUUAUAAUUAGUAUUUUUAUUGUUGUAAGAUGAUAAAACAUGAAUAGUACUUUAUGCAUGACUUACAAUAUUAUUUUUUUUCAAAAAAUUUUUAAAUAAGACAGAUGAUUAAAGUUGAGCACGAAAAAUCAUGAUUGCACUUAAA